UUAUUGCCCCACCCUUUGCCACACUCCUUCAGAGAUGCGCAGUGCUGCCCCUUUCUAUGGGCAGGGCCGAAGGUCCGCGUGUAAAAGUACCCAGUCCCUGGUAACCUGACACUUCCCUUUUAAAAGCCACCUUUUGUCUAUCUCUGGCCUGCCACGAUUCUUCCUGUGCUCCAUAGGAGGACCCAUUGGACCCCCGGGCUGGCUGCAGGGCCCACACCUGGGUUAGACCUCGCACAGGGACGCUGCUGCCACUGUAAUAAAGCGUGCCUACACGCUUCUGAAACUGGUGUAGGAACAACCUCAGUUCUGUGAAAGGCGGACGCAGCAGGACAGAAUCUCCGUGGACAUCUGUCUGGAGGAGCAAUUUUACUGCGACAUUUUAAAGAAACAAAUUUAAUUGAUUUCCAAGGGUGUCCAUCGCGCUUCCUUCACUGCCUUGAUCAUGUCGGGGUCACCACCUGCGGGGGUUUGUCCUGCAGACCCUGACUCAACGACGGAUGAAUAAUGUACACUGACACAGAUCUUAUGCUUGUCAGUCCUGCUGAGCAUCCAGGCCACUUACAGACUCCAAGAAGAGUCCUGUCAGCCACGGCUCUGACUUGUUGGCCCUCCCGGCAUUUAUUUAGCACACAUUUAAUGACAGAAGUCUCAGGCUGGAAACACUCUUUUUGUAGAACAUACAAAUGGACAUUUCUAAGCACAUUGAGGCCUAUAAUGAAAAAUCAAAUAUCCCACAAUGAAAACUAGAAGGAAGCUAUCUGUGAUAAUGCUUUGUGGUGUAUGGAUUCAUCUCACUGACUGAAACCUGAGUUUUGAUUCACCAGAAUCUAUGCAGGGACAUUUUUGUGCUCAUUGAGGCCUACUGUGAAAAACCAAACAUCAGGGGUGGAGCCAAAAAAGCCAAAUAGGAACAGCUCCAGUCUACAGCUCCCAGCAUGAGCCACACAGAAGAUGGAUGAUUUCUGCAUUUCCAACUGAGGUUGAAAGCAUUCUUUUUGUAGAAUCUAUGAAAAGACAUUUCUGAGCUUAUUCUGGUUUAUAGAGUAAAACCGAAUAUCCUGAAAUAAAAACUGGAAACUAGGUUGGAAACUUUUUUUGUAGAAUCUAUGAAGAAACAUUUCUGAGCUCACUGAGGCAUAUUUGGAAAAAUGGGUAUCUCACAAUACAAACUGGAAACAAGCUAUCUGUGGAAACGUUUUAUGAUGUGUGGAUUCAUGUCACAGAGUUAAUCCUUUGUUUUGAUUCAACAGUUUGAAAACACUUUUUUUGUAGAAUAUACAAAAAGACAUUUCUGAGCCCUUUGAAUCCUAUAGUAAAGAAACAAAUAUCUCACGAUAAAAACUAAAAAGAAA
ensembl:lncRNA LINC00662 long intergenic non-protein coding RNA 662